GACGAACGCUGGCGGCGUGCUUAACACAUGCAAGUCGAGCGGCGCGGCGAACGGGUGAGUAACGCGUGAGUACCUGCCCCCCUCUCUGGGCUCACAGUUGGAAACGGCUGCUAAUACCGGAUAGUGGGGGAUGACUCGCGUCCUAUCCGCUUGUUGGUGGGGUAGUGGCCUACCAAGGCGCCUACGGGUAGCCGGCCUAGGAGGGCGACCGGCCACAGUGGGCUGAGAUAAGGGCCAAACUCCUACGGGAGGCAGCAGUGGGGAAUAUUGCACGAGGGGGGAAACCCUGAUGCAGCAACGCGCGGGCGGGAUGACGGCCUUCGGGUUGUAAACCGCUUUCAGCCAUGGCGCGGUAGUGGCAGAAGAAGCACCGGCUAACUACGUGCCAGCAGCCGCGGUAAUAC
rnacentral:rRNA from 1 species